GACGAACGCUGGCGGCGUGCUUAACACAUGCAAGUCGAACGGAAAGGCCCUGCUUUUGUGGGGUGCUCGAGUGGCGAACGGGUGAGUAACACGUGAGUAACCUGCCCUUGACUUUGGGAUAACUUCAGGAAACUGGGGCUAAUACCGGAUAGGAGCUCCUGCUGCAUGGUGGGGGUUGGAAAGUUUCGGCGGUUGGGGAUGGACUCGCGGCUUAUCAACUUGUUGGUGGGGUAGUGGCUUACCAAGGCUUUGACGGGUAGCCGGCCUGAGAGGGUGACCGGCCACAUUGGGACUGAGAGACGGCCCAGACUCCUACGGGAGGCAGCAGUGGGGAAUAUUGCACAAUGGGCGGAAGCCUGAUGCAGCAACGCCGCGUGCGGGAUGACGGCCUUCGGGUUGUAAACCGCUUUCGCCUGUGACGAAGCGUGAGUGACGGUAAUGGGUAAAGAAGCACCGGCUAACUACGU
rnacentral:rRNA from 1 species